UUUGGUGAUGCUGCAUUGAGGGGGUAAAUGGUCACAUUGGUCCCUGGAUGUUCGCACCGACUUCAGAAUCGUCCCUGGAUGAAUUUUAUUAGGCUCGCGGUCCCCAGAUAUGGCAAAAAAUAGUCAUAUUAGUCCCUGACGUUAAAAUUCUCUAACGUCCGUUAACCCAAUUAAUAAAAGUCAACAUUAUCUUUCUAAUUUUCUUUCACUUUGGUCCCUUUCUUCUUUCUUCCACCCUCUUCACCCCUCCUUCCAUCAUUUUCACCAAAACCCGCCCCACCCCCCAUCAUGCUCACUUCCUUCAUCUUCAUCUUGUUCAUCUUCACUUUAUUCAUCUUCCCCAAAAACCCAGAACUCCACCUCAUCCGACCACCACUCCAGCCACCUCCCACAUUUAAACGACCAACCUCCACCACGUAAACCACCUGAUUCAAGUUCUCCGGUCACCACCCCCCUCACUCCAGACCUCGGUGAAGAUAAAUCUCAGAUCUGUGUCCAAAUCCCUAAACCCGGAUUUGGGUACUACUCUUUGGGGAAUGAGAGAAAGGAUAAACCAGAUCUGGGUCGGAGGUUUGAAUGAGGAAGGAGGCUGGUUGGUUCGGUUACGGAAGGUGAUUUGCCGGAUAGAACACCAUCAGGAACAGUCCAGGUUUUGACCCCAAGCAAUCAUGCUAACACACCUCAAUUUUCUGAGCCAAUGAAAUUUGAUACCAUGAACAUUGAUGCUGUGAUCAGAACAGAUGAUGCUGAACUCGGAGAAGCAGAUCAAGACGAGCCAAAAUCUGGAGAUCCAUUGGAUUACUUUCUCCCUCCACCACCCAAAGCUAGAUGCUCCGAGGAGCUGCAAGUUAGUUGUGUUAAAAGUUAAAAUUGUUUGGUAACUCAGUCAUUGAGUACCAUUUUGUUGCAAUGUAAAGUGGCAUGUCAUUACUUAUUUAAGCUGGUUCGUUUUGGUCUUUUUCUUUGGUAUUGUGUAAAUAUUUAGUUGUGUUUUCUCUUUCUUGAAUCUGAGCAAGAGCAUUUUUUGGUAUUGAUAUAAUAUUCCAUAUUUGUAUUGUCUUUGAAUUUGAUCAAAUGAGUUUUGGCAAUUAAAAGUUUCUGUUGAA